AAGGGAUGCUAAUACCGCAUACGCCCUACGGGGGAAAGCAGGGGAUCACUUGUGACCUUGCGUUAAUAGAUGAGCCUAAGUCGGAUUAGCUAGUUGGUGGGGUAAAGGCCUACCAAGGCGACGAUCUGUAGCGGGUCUGAGAGGAUGAUCCGCCACACUGGGACUGAGACACGGCCCAGACUCCUACGGGAGGCAGCAGUGGGGAAUAUUGGACAAUGGGGGGAACCCUGAUCCAGCCAUGCCGCGUGUGUGAAGAAGGCCUUAUGGUUGUAAAGCACUUUAAGCGAGGAGGAGGCUCUCUUGGUUAAUACCCAAGAAGAGUGGACGUUACUCGCAGAAUAAGCACCGGCUAACUCUGUGCCAGCAGCCGCGGUAAUACAGAGGGUGCGAGCGUUAAUCGGAUUUACUGGGCGUAAAGCGUGCGUAGGCGGCUUUUUAAGUCGGAUGUGAAAUCCCCGAGCUUAACUUGGGAAUUGCAUUCGAUACUGGGAAGCUAGAGUAUGGGAGAGGAUGGUAGAAUUCCAGGUGUAGCGGUGAAAUGCGUAGAGAUCUGGAGGAAUACCGAUGGCGAAGGCAGCCAUCUGGCCUAAUACUGACGCUGAGGUACGAAAGCAUGGGGAGCAAACAGGAUUAGAUACCCUGGUAGUCCAUGCCGUAAACGAUGUCUACUAGCCGUUGGGGCCUUUGAGGCUUUAGUGGCGCAGCUAACGCGAUAAGUAGACCGCCUGGGGAGUACGGUCGCAAGACUAAAACUCAAAUGAAUUGACGGGGGCCCGCACAAGCGGUGGAGCAUGUGGUUUAAUUCGAUGCAACGCGAAGAACCUUACCUGGUCUUGACAUAUUAAGAACUUUCCAGAAAUGGAUUGGUGCCUUCGGGAACUUACAUACAGGUGCUGCAUGG
rnacentral:rRNA from 1 species